AGUGAACGCUGGCGGUAGGCCUAACACAUGCAAGUCGAACGGCAGCACAGUAAGAGCUUGCUCUUACGGGUGGCGAGUGGCGGACGGGUGAGGAAUACAUCGGAAUCUACUUUUUCGUGGGGGAUAACGUAGGGACACUUACGCUAAUACCGCAUACGAUCUACGGGUGAAAGCAGUGGAUCUUCGCACCUUGCGCGAUUGAAUGAGCCGAUGUCGGACUAGCUAGUUGGGGGGGUAAAGGCCCACCAAGGCGACGAUCCGUAGCUGGACUGAGAGGAUGGUCGGCCACACUGGAACUGAGACACGGUCCAGACUCCUACGGGAGGCAGCAGUAGGGAAUAUUGGACAAUGGGCGAAAGCCUGAUCCAGCCAUACCGCGUGGGUGAAGAAGGCCUUCGGGUUGUAAAGCCCUUUUGUUGGGAAAGAAAAGCAGCAGGUUAAUACCCCGCUGUUCUGACGGUACCCAAAGAAAAAGCACCGGCUAACUUCGUG
rnacentral:rRNA from 1 species